UACGUAGGGGGCAAGCGUUGUCCGGAUUUAUUGGGCGUAAAGAGCUCGUAGGCGGUUUGUCGCGUCGGGAGUGAAAUCCACUGGCUUAACUGGUGGCUUGCUUUCGAUACGGGCAGACUGGAGGUAUGCAGGGGAGAACGGAAUUCCUGGUGUAGCGGUGAAAUGCGCAGAUAUCAGGAGGAACACCGAUGGCGAAGGCAGGUCUCUGGGCCGAUACUGACGCUGAGGGGCGAAAGCGUGGGGAGCGAACAGG
rnacentral:rRNA from 1 species